UCCCUAGUAGCUCAGAUGGUAAAGCAUCUACCUACAAUGUGGGAGACCCGGGUUCAAUCCCUGGCUCUGGAA
rfam:TPA: Bos taurus chromosome 29, whole genome shotgun sequence.